UACGUAGGGUGCAAGCGUUAAUCGGAAUUACUGGGCGUAAAGCGUGCGCAGGCGGUUCCAUAAGACAGAUGUGAAAUCCCCGGGCUCAACCUGGGAACUGCAUUUGUGACUGUGGAGCUAGAGUACGGUAGAGGGGGAUGGAAUUCCGCGUGUAGCAGUGAAAUGCGUAGAUAUGCGGAGGAACACCAAUGGCGAAGGCAAUCCCCUGGACCUGUACUGACGCUCAUGCACGAAAGCGUGGGGAGCAAACAGGAUUAGAUACCCUGGUAGUCCACGCCCUAAACGAUGUCAACUGGUUGUUGGGAGGGUUUCUUCUCAGUAACGAAGCUAACGCGUGAAGUUGACCGCCUGGGGAGUACGGCCGCAAGGUUGAA
rnacentral:rRNA from 1 species